AGAACCUGCAGCAGCACAUCGAUGAGUGCAACGAGAAGAAGAACAUGCUGAAGAAGACCCUGCAGAACCUGGAGUCCAAGCAGGCCAAACUGAAGUUCAACCAACCCAUCAGCACCGCCAGGUGCUGCUGGCCUCGCGCACUUGUGCCAGCCAGGACGCCACCUUAGGGGGGGACACGUCCCAAGAGGCACUGUGACCUGCACCCCACUGCAGCCACGCACUCCUCCCGCACUGGGAGGGUUUCUGAGCUCCCAGCUCUGCUGCUGGCAGGGCAGAGCACCCAAAGCUCCCACUGGGGUCCCCGAGCUCUCUUUCUCCUUGCUGGGCAUGGGAAGUGCUGCCAGCAGCAUGGACCUGGCCUGCAGUUGGGGUGGGGCAGCCUGAACAGCUUUUGGAGCAGGUUUGGGGUGUCCCUGCACCCCUGUGCACCUGUGUGAUGUGAGUGUGGCUGGCUCCAGCAUGCAGGAGGAGGAGCUGAGGGAGAAGCUGAGGCAGGAGGAGGCCCGGCUGGAGCAGAUGAGAGCCCACAUGCUGAACAACCAGAAGCGCCUGAUCGAGUUUGAGAACAUCAUUGACAACAUGUUCCUCCGCCUGCAGGGCAUCUCCAUCCCUGGCAAGGAGGACUCAGGUGAGGUGCACGGGAUGGAGGAGAAGCUGCAGCACUGUGAGCAGAAGCUGCAGUUCCUGAAGGAGCAGGCAGCAGCCCGGCCUGAGGACAGCCCUGAUGAACACAGUGAGGUACGCGGGGCUUGGUGGCCCUGGGGACACACUCAGGGUCCUCCCAGACCAAGGCCACCCAAGCCAUCCUUCUCAGCAAGGCCACAGGGAAGGGCCAUGGAGCAGCUCAGCCCCGAUGGCACUGGGCACCCAUGGUGCUUGGGUUGUAGCACCCACCUGCCCUCCAGCACUCAUCCCAGGCUGUCUUUCACAGACUUUUGCCAAGGUUAGGAACCUUCUGGAGGAAAGAACUGCAGGUGAAAAACAGAACCUGAGGAUUACCUUUGAGGAUGAGGGCGCUACAGAAGAUGGUAGGAGAGCACAGUGGGGAUGUGUCCUACAGUGACUGUUCCAGCCCUGCCCCCUGGAAUGGGGGAGUCCUUGUCUGUCUCCCACUGGCCCAGCAGACACCAACCCACAAAUUGCCUCCAGGUCUUGAGGCUGACCUUGGCUGUUUCCAAGGCCUCAGAUGUGGGUGGUGUUUUUAGGCAGGGGUGGAGGAGAAUGAAGGCAGGGGGUGGCAUGAUGAGCACCAAGCUACUGCAGGAACAAGGAGAGACGUGGGGCAAGAGGGAACACCCUCAUCUCCAAAAUCAUCUGGUUGUGAAGAAUAAUCAGUGCUUGGUUCUGCCUGUGGAUGCUCCUGGAAGAUGCAAAGACCUUUUGGCAGCUCAGCGCCAUUCUUUAGCAAAGCAGGAGCUGUGCCCACCACACUGUAGCCCCAGACCUUUAUGGGAAGCCCCAGCAGUGUAAUGGAGAUGGGCCACAGUGGUGGCAUCACAGGUCCCCCAGGUCACCCUGUGAUGCUGGGGUGGAAAGGUCCAUGAGGACUCUCCUGGAUCCCACGAGCCCAACAAAACAUGCCAGCUGUCCCAGGGACGUGGCCACAGCUGAGGUGGCCUCCAGCCCCUCCCCAGUCCCUCCUCUCCACUCUCCCCUGCAGACAGCUUGGAUUUUGAGGAGGAGGAAGAGGACUAUGUCCCCAGCCGGGAGGAUAUCAAGAAGCAGGGGCAGCAGCUGAUCCGCAUGAACACCCGGCGUCGCAAGAAGAAGUAGUGGUUUCUCCGUGUGAGCUCUGAAGGCCUCAGGCCACCCCUUGUACCCUUUUCCCAGCAGGAGCACCUUGAGCUGAGUUUUCUCAGUCUGCUUUUCCCAGCAGGUUUAAUAAAUCAG
ensembl:lncRNA